GAUGAACGCUGGCGGCGUGCUUAACACAUGCAAGUCGAACGAGAAGUGGAGACGGAAACCUUCGGGCGGAAGACUUUACUUCGAGUGGCGGACGGGUGAGUAACGCGUGGGUAACCUGCCUCAUACAGGGGGAUAACAGUUGGAAAUGACUGUUAAUACCGCAUAAGACCACAGCACCGCAUGGUGCGGGGGUAAAAACUCCGGUGGUAUGAGAUGGACCCGCGUUCGAUUAGCCAGUUGGCGGGGUAACGGCCCACCAAAGCGACGAUCGAUAGCCGAUCUGAGAGGAUGACCGGCCACAUUGGGACUGAGACACGGCCCAAACUCCUACGGGAGGCAGCAGUGGGGAAUAUUGCACAAUGGGGGAAACCCUGAUGCAGCGACGCCGCGUGAGUGAAGAAGUAUUUCGGUAUGUAAAGCUCUAUCAGCAGGGAAGAAAAUGACAGUACCUGAGUAAGAAGCCCCGGCUAACUACGUG
rnacentral:rRNA from 1 species